ensembl:lncRNA
AAAAGACCAGAGCAUCCCAAGUUGUUAAAAACCGACCUCAGCAAGUCUAAAUCUUCACAAAGGUGGCAUUUACUGUGUCAGGCCUCACAAAGGUUCCCAUUCUUCCCUCACCCGCAGGGACCCCCUCUUUCUCCAUCCAUGUUUGAGCAAGGGCCUCAGACAAUUAGCACGGCCUCUGGCCCUUCACCCUUCAGCUGUCAAUCAGCUUCCCAGGCAGAUGGGCAGCAGGAUGAGAAAAGAUGGUUUCCAAGCGGCUUUACCCUCCUGGCUGGGAAGGUGCCGAGCAGGCACCGCGGCGUGCAGGCAGCCUCUUUGUAGGGCCCCAGCAUGAGAGCCAGAGAACAGCCGGACUUCCCAGGAGCCUCUCCGUCCCCAGCCACAAAAGGCUCACCAUGAGCUGGGAGGCAGGGAUGGCUCGACAGUCGCUGGAAGUUGUUAUGGAAAAAGUAACCCCUUCACUCAGGCCCUUACGUGCUGGCUUUGUGGAUUUAGACAAAAACAUCUGCUGCCCAGACAGUAGAUAGAUCUGUGUGCCAGAAAGAUGGAUUAGGAAAGACUGGGUGCAUGGCGGCACAGACAUGGAUGUGGAUCUCCAGUGAGGGGAGGGGACACAAAAGUGUUGCUGUGCUGCUGCUCUCAGCUCUGCACCCUUCUCACCUCCUGCUCAGUGGGACUCAAAAGAUUGUUAGGAUAACUCCGCUCACCAUUCUUGGCAGGGAAAGGAAAUAAUGGGGCAAGGAAGCACCCAUUAUCAGUUAUUUGGCGUAUGGUCCCAACAUCCUUGAUUUACACAGGUUUUGGAAGAUCAGAGGGCCAGAGAAUGAACUGGUGAGACUGUGCACCUUUCAUGCACCUGCGUGGUAUGACACAGCUAGGAUGUCACAGUGUCACCCAACAAGUUUUCACUCUCCCUAUUUUACACUGUCCUUAUCUCAGACACGGGAGUGCUAUGAAGGAAAGGAACUGAAGCCACUCCAAAAGAAUCUGACAUUCCUAUUAUUAGUUUCAUGAACAAGUGUUAUGCUAGAAACUGCACCAAUUCCUUAAAAUCUCAUAAACAUAACCAUAGGAAGAGGAUGCAAGCUCUUAACGCCUUUUUCUGUUGCUCAUGUGAACCUGCCAUCCUUUGCUCUGAGGAGCCCGCUGCUUCUGAGAAUGAAAACAAGCAACUUCCCCCUCCCCCUGAAAUCCUAGCACUGGUGAAAACCUAUAUGAGAUUUCAAUAUAAAAAAUCCAGAUUGUUUUUUAUUUACUUUCUGUUUUUAAGUCUUUGGGAAGAAAAUUGCUAUGCAGCUUUGAUGGCCAAAAGAAAUAAAUCAUUAAGCAAAUCAAUCAAUAAGUAAACAAAAAAUAAACAAAUAAAUCAUAUUUAAAAUACAAACACUGGGCUUUUUCACAGCUUCCCAUUCCCAGAAGCUAGCAUAGUAAGCAGCAUGCCAGAUUGUGUCAUGCUCUGAGAAACAAUAGCAAAUUUUAUUAAUAGUUUUAUGCAUUAUUGUUGCCUUCCCGCUGUUAUUACUGAGCCUACCCUGCCUUUCUCCUUCCUUUCCCUACCCACGCCGUCUGCUACUGAGCCUCUGAAACUGGAAAAUAGGAAAAAGGCAUUAUUAUUUGUGGUCACAAACUAAGACUGCAGCAUGUGGUCCGCUGUAGAAGCUGAAAAGCAGGUGACAUGUCAGGGAAACCUGUGGAGCCACAGAGUUUGAACUGCCACUGGAAGUCCCGAUCUGCUCUCAGACCUGUCAUGUUUAUGGAUAAUCC